AAUGGCCUGAGCAGGAAAACCCCUGUGCUAUUAGAAGUUUAGAGAUCAGAGGCUGGGGAGCCAGCACUUGCCUGGCAAGUGUGAUGCCCAGGAUCCCACCUUCAGCUCAAUCAGGGAAAAGUGCAAAUUUUAGCUUAGGCAUGCUUCCCCCUAUUAAAAUUUUUUAACUAAUUAGCUGAAAGAUACCAAUAUAAAGUCUAUCUGUGUAGCAAAGAUAUUUGAUAAGAUAAAUGCUCUGGGAAGCACCGAUGUAGAGAAUGGAAGCCAUCCUCCCGUAGGACAGGCUCUGAGAUGAGUGGCCAGGAAGGCUAACCUGACCUGAUAACAUCGAUCGGCGACCGCAUCGACUGCCGCUCCCGCUGGGGAACCACGUGCCACGUGAAUACCAGCCGCCAGUCAAAGCCGCCAAUCUGCGGCUCUCCCGAGUUGCCCAGGUACUCAAAGGUGUUCCAGUCAAUCACAUCGAUAACAGGGCACACGACUGCGGACUCCUUCUCGUGGAUCCUGUAAAUACCCAACACAUCCAUCUCAUCUGUCUGCUCCAGACCGCGCAGGGCGGCAGCAGGACCGCUCCUGGGUGAGAAGACCCACCUCCCUUAUUUGGGGGUCUGGGUCAUGUUGGGGACCACCAAGGAGCAUGGAAGAAGGUGAAGAGGAACUGAAACGGGAACAUCCCACAAUUCCAUCUCCUCUAAUCCCGUCCGCGGGCAUUCUGGCUAAAUCUGAAUCUCUUUCAAAGAGUCAAGGCGUGUGAAAAUCACACAUGCUCAAGUUCUCAGGAGUGCAAAAACGCUUCAUCAAGAAACAACUAUCUUUGGGAUGGCUCGGUGGAUAAAGGAGCCUGCGGCCAAGACUAAUGACCCGAGUUCAAUCCCUGGGACCCACGUGGUGGGAAGAGAGACUGACUCCUCCAAAAUGUCCUCUGACUUCCACACAUGCAGUGUGAGCUGGGUGCGGCUAUGGUCUGACGUUCUGCCUGACGGAAGAAGGUCGGGGACGUCUAGAAAAAGGGAGGCAGGAAGACCAGAAGCUUCAACUGACUGUCCACCAUCAAGAGUUCACAUACAGGAGACCUCAACCCAUGCUGACUGUCCACCAUCAAGAGUUCACAUACAGGAGACCUCAACCCAUGCUGACUGUCCACCAUCAAGAGACCUCAACCCAUGUUUAUUACCCACCCACCCCCCACCGUCCUCAUCUCAGACUGUUUUAAAAGAAACCCCUGCAUAGCGCAGCACCCACAGUUUCUUGAACAUGUAUCUCUAAAAUAAAGAUUUGUUCCUUAACAUAUCUGUUUCUGCCACGCCUUAGAAAUGGAAUGCCUCUUGGGGCUACCCUAGCUCUGCUCUGUAGUAAUCCAUCAAAGCUAAGCAGGCGGCUGACAUAGUUUCAGGAACCAGAAAGGGAAAAGUUGCCAACUGAAUUGUACAGAACAGAUUCAUUUUAGAGAUGUCAGCAUGGGACUCCACUCACACAUAAAAUCCAGUAUUUAAUCUUUACCUCUGAAAUCACUUCCUGAACUGGAGAGAGAGUUAGUUCUGUGGUUAAGGGUGCUAUCUGCUCUUGCAGAUGACCCAGUUUGAUUCCCAGUACCCAUAAUAGAAGGCUCACAACUCCUGUAACUCUAACUCCAGGGGAUUCAACGUCUCUGGGCCUGCUAGCACAUACACACACAGACAUACAAUUAAUAAUAAAAACUAAUAUAAGCUUCACAGGUUUGGUUUUAAAGCUGCGGUUCAGUGAUGUCAAACGGUAUGCUCAGCUCACAGAGCACAGGGCUGUGAACACACCGGAUGUCUAUAACCAAUGGUCGUCUGGGGAGCUCCUGGCUCAUUCCUCAUAUCCAAUAGGAGGCAUCCUAUAUGGCACUCCUUCCCACCAAACAGUGACCUUCCCUUGCCCCUUCCCAGGGCCCUCUAGGAGAGUCCAUGUUCCCAGGAUAAAUGUCACAACCACUUCUGCAGUGAGCCCUGAGGCUCCGUGGCCAUGGCCUGGCUCUAGUACCGUUGUACUGGCUUCUCUAGAAUCACAAAUGGCCUCUUGAGAGACUCUGUGUGGGGCAGGAAGCUUCUCUCCUCAGCCAGUUCCACAGUCUCAUCCCAGCUGCAUCCUGAGGCACUCAAGGAAAAUUGAGCUGCGGCAGCAGGGACAUCCUGCUGUCGUGCAGCCAGGCAGGAGCAACACCUUCAGACCCCAGGCUGUAAUUCAUGGGCACAACAGUACCAGCAUCAGGAAACUCUAGUAAGCCACACACGGGAGUCUGAUUGAUAUUCAAGGUGAGAAUUCAAUCCAGCCUCAGAAGGAAUAACAUCAAAGAAGAAAGCAAAAAUAGUAUAUCUCAAACUACCAUACAAGAAGAGAAGACAUGAAGAAGAAGAAGCAGGGAAGUGGAGGAAGAGGAAGGGAGGAAGAAGAAAAGGAAGAGGAAAAAGAAGGUGGUGGUGGGUGACAUUUUCUCCAUAUUACAGUGUAAUGGGGCACAGGAAAGGCAGCUGCCACUUUGUGAGACUAUUGGAGCCGCCCCAUGGGGGAGGCCGUGAACAGGUAAGUGCGCCAUCUAGGGGUCACAGUCUCUUGCCCCAUCAUGGGUUCAGAUGACCAAGACCCAGGCAUCAUGUUGGCUGAGACUUUCUGAGACUCUGACCCAGACCCACCCAUCUAUGGUAUUCCUAAACUCCAGAUCAAAGAAACGUAAAAUAAUGAAUGGCCAUUGUUAUUUAAAUUGUGACAUUUUGUGGCGAUCCAUCCUUCAAAACAAACCAUAAGGAAGUCCAAGCUGAGGGUCCCUUAAACCAACAACACUGUAUUCACAUCAGUGGCCUGAGACAGGCAGAGGCUGAGCCAGGACACAACACCGUGAGUGCUGGCCUACGAUCCAAACACUGGAGAAGUAGAGGCAUGGGGAUCAGGGGUUCAAAGCCAUCAUCAGUCAUACAGAAUGUUCCAGGCCAGCUGGACCUACACAGUGAGGCCCUGUCUCAAAAAACAACAAAACAAAAAUAUUGCAACAAGCCAGGCGUGGUGGGUCACACCUGUAAUCCCAGUACUUUAGAGGCCAAGGCAGGGGGAUGAUGGUGAGUUCCAGGGCAGCCUGAGAUACAGAGAAGCCCUGUGUUGUAAAACAAAGCCAAAUGAGCAAAAGACAAGAUCAUAACAAAUACGACAUAUAACAUAAAUGGCAUAAUCAAAUCCAAAGUAUCAGUAUUAAUGAGCACAAUAAAUAUAAAUGAUAGAAACAUCUGCUUGAAAGUCUCUCUCUCUCUCCCUCCCUUCCUCCAAUUUUCAGAUAUGAGGUCUCAGCUACUGCUCCAGUGCCAUGCCUGCCUGCCUGCCUGCCACCACACUCCCUGCCAUGACAGUCAUGGUCUCACCCUCUGAAACUGUAAGCAAACUGUAACUAAAUGCUUCCUUUUUAUAAGUUGCCUUGGCCAUACUGUACCUUCACAGCUAUUUAGUGAUAUGCCUAA